GGGAAGGUGGCUCAGUGGUAGAGUGCUUGCUUUGCAUGCCUGAGGCCCUGGGUUCGAUUCCUCAGC
rnacentral:tRNA from 1 species